AUGGGUAAAAAUAUCCCGGUGCAGAAGGCCAAAUGGGCUGAGCAAUAUGUUGUCACGAAAGACUGCAUGAUGUCUGUAACUAAGCAAGGAACUGAAUUUUUUUUUUAUUAGGAGAGGAAUCUUCUUUUAGUUGCUUAUAAAAAUGUUACAGGAGCCUGUAGGUCAUCUUGGAGCUUCGUCUCAAGUAUUGGGCAAAUGACAGAAGCUGCUGAGAAAAACAGCAGAUGGCUUGAGAAUACAGAGAGAAAAUGCAAAGUGAGCUAAGAGCUAUCUGUAAAUGAUGUACUGUCCCUUUUGGAAGAGUUCUUGAUCCCCAAAGCUUCACAAGCACAGAGCAAAAUCUAUUAAAAGCAAAAGGAGUCUACUUUUGUUAUUUGGCUCAGGUUGCCGCUAGUGAUGAUAAGAAAGGGAUUGUGGAUCAGUCACAACAAGCACAUCAAGAAGCUUUUGAAAUCAGAAAAAGGAAUUGCAAUCAACACAUCCUAUCAGAUUGGGUCUGGGCUAUAAGCUCUCUGUGUUGUAUUGUGAGAAUCUGAACUUGCUGGAGAAAGCCUGCUGUCUUGCAAAGACAGCUUUUGAUGAAGCCAUUGUUGGACUCAAUACAUUAAGAGUCAUAUAAAGAUAGCAUGCUAAUAAUGCAACUACUGAGAAACUACUUAACAUUUUACACAUCAGAUACCCAAGGAGAUGAAGCUGAAGCAGGAGAAGAAGGUGAAAAUUAA
rnacentral:lncRNA from 1 species